ensembl:lncRNA
AGAAGAUCUUCCUGACCCGGGAAUUGAACCAGGGUCUCCUGCACUGCAGGUGGAUUCUUUACCAGCUGAGCUACUAGGGAAGCCCUGACUUGAUGAAGUCAGAGCUAUCUUGAGGAGGCCCACGUGGCAAAGAACCAUUCAGAAUCAGAAUGGGGCCCUCAGUCUUACAACCACAAGGCAAUGAAAUCUGCCAACAAGCAGAAUGAGGUCAGAAAGUAGCUAUCUGUGGUUGAAACUUCAGAUGAAAAUGCAGCCCAACUGAAACCUUGAUUGCAAUCUCGGGAAACCCUGAGCAGAGAACUCUGCUAAGCCACACCUGGACUCCUGACCCACAGAAACCGCAAAGGGGGACACAGUGGACUAUGCCCUCAAAACUGGAUGUAUGUCCUGGCCUAGAGGAGGUAGUAAUGGUUCCAAGAGGAGAGCAUGCUCAACUCAUGAACAUUCUUCUGAUUGGUUGGUGAUGAGGGUGUUCUUGCCUGGAGAAUCCCUGGGACAGGGAAGCCUGGUGGGCUGCUGUCUAUGGGGUCACACAGAGUCAGACACGACUGAAGUGACUUAGCAGCAGCAGCAGCAAAGGUUCCAAUAUGGCUCUAUUUGUUGUUCAGUCGCUCAGUCGUGUCUGACUCUUUGCCACCCCAUGGACUGCAACACACCAGGUUGCCCUGUUCUUCACCACCUCCUGGAGUUUUGGACUUGCCAGUCUCCAUAAUCU